AGCAAACGUGCCUGAUCCAAAGGGUUUUCCUGAUACGAAAAACAUGCAACCAUGCCUUUGCUU
rnacentral:tRNA from 1 species